rnacentral:lncRNA from 1 species
UUGACCCACUUAAAGCUCAAUAUCCCUCAAUUUAACCGUUAGAUCAAGCUCAAAUUCACGAUACAUAUUAAACACAACUAUAACCAUAAACCCACAAAAUUUCACCUAGAGAUCUAUUACAAAACUCUUGAAAUUACCCAAAACGUAAACCCUAUUUUAUUUCAUAAAACCCAAGUCAUCCGAAACAAACCUUGACUUUGCAAAGCCAUUACAAAGUCAAUACAGAUCCAAAUCACCCAAAACCAACACCUAUAGAAACCCUAUCAAGUCUUCUAUCAAAUCCCACUCUCCGAUCUGCCAAAGAGUCCUUGAAUCGCCAUCAGAGCGUGGUUUUGUGCCUCGGGGUCUGAUUUCGAUCCAGGUUCAUAACCGAUCCUCUUCGGAUAUCAACUUUCAUCUUCUUGAGGUAAUUUUUACUAAUUUGCACUCCUAACUCCUCCCUACAUAUGCCUAUAUCCUUUAUUUUUCUAAUCUACCUUGUUUUGUCUUAUUUAUGGCCUUACAAAG